rnacentral:antisense_RNA from 1 species
AGUACCAAUUUUAUGACAACUAAUCAUCGGGAUAACCAGAUUAGAAAUGAAGAGAGUUAAAAACGAAAAAAUAAAGAAAAACUAUAAAGAUAUGGUGCGUCCGAGUGGACUCGAACCACCGACCCCCACCA